GCUGCAAGAGGGCGAAACCAGCACAUCCACAUCCUGCCAGAGACUCCGGGCAGGCAUUUCCACUGGGAUGUCCCUUGUGUCACUGCGUGGCUGGGGGACAGGGCAGAGCUGCCCCACAGGCUCCAGGAGCCCAGGAAGCCAAGAGGGAGAUGCUGGACUGGCUGCUGCUGGGAGGAAAGAUGCUCUGAUCUCUGUGCCUGGAGCAUCCAGCGCCUCAAUCCUCCCCCCUCGCAAUCCCUCCCGCGGAAAUGGGACACGAGCACCGAGGAACAUCAACACCAGACUUUCCGAGAUGGAGAGGCUCCUGCUCCCAUCGGUGCCGUUUGAGGAUGCCGGCAGCGUUAACCCUUUGGUUCCCGCACCCCCUCCGAGCUGCUGGAGAGGUUUUUGCACACCCCAGAAUACUCAAACUGCCUCCUCCAACCCGGCUCUGGCAGCCGACCUGGCAUUUCCCAGAUGGAGGGAUCCAUUUCCCCUUCCAGCUACCCUCAGCGAUUCCAUAAUGAGAUGAGUUUUGUUGUGACCACAACCAGUGUCAGAGGGAA